AUUGAACGCUGGCGGCAGGCCUAACACAUGCAAGUCGAGCGGAUGAAGGGAGCUUGCUCCUGGAUUCAGCGGCGGACGGGUGAGUAAUGCCUAGGAAUCUGCCUGGUAGUGGGGGAUAACGUCCGGAAACGGGCGCUAAUACCGCAUACGUCCUGAGGUAGAAAGUGGGGGAUCUUCGGACCUCACGCUAUCAGAUGAGCCUAGGUCGGAUUAGCUAGUUGGUGGGGUAAAGGCCUACCAAGGCGACGAUCCGUAACUGGUCUGAGAGGAUGAUCAGUCACACUGGAACUGAGACACGGUCCAGACUCCUACGGGAGGCAGCAGUGGGGAAUAUUGGACAAUGGGCGAAAGCCCGAUCCAGCCAUGCCGCGUGUGUGAAGAAGGUCUUCGGAUUGUAAAGCACUUUAAGUUGGGAGGAAGGGAAGUAAGUUAAUACCUUGCUGUUUUGACGUUACCAAAAGAAUAAGCACCGGCUAACUUCGUG
rnacentral:rRNA from 1 species